rnacentral:ncRNA from 1 species
UUAAUACGGGGAGCUUGUUAGGCAGGCUGAGAGGAAGUUAUCGAACUUCGACCCUUGAACCUGAUAUGGGUAAUGCCAGCGUAGGGAAUGUUAA